UUGUUGGUAAGGUAAAAGCUUACCAAGGCUUCGAUCAGUAGCUGGUCUGAGAGGACGGCCAGCCACACUGGGACUGAGACACGGCCCAGACUCCUACGGGAGGCAGCAGUGGGGAAUUUUGGACAAUGGGGGCAACCCUGAUCCAGCCAUGCCGCGUGAGUGAAGAAGGCCUUCGGGUUGUAAAGCUCUUUCAGCCGGAACGAAACGGUUACGGUUAAUACCCGUGACUACUGACGGUACCGGAAGAAGAAGCACCGGCUAACUACGUGCCAGCAGCCGCGGUAAUACGUAGGGUGCAAGCGUUAAUCGGAAUUACUGGGCGUAAAGCGUGCGCAGGUGGUUUUGUAAGUCAGAUGUGAAAUCCCCGGGCUUAACCUGGGAACUGCGUUUGAAACUACAAGGCUAGAGUGUGGCAGAGGGGGGUGGAAUUCCGCGUGUAGCAGUGAAAUGCGUAGAUAUGUGGGGGAACACCGAUGGCGAAGGCAGCCCCCUGGGUCAACACUGACGCUCAGGCACGAAAGCAUGGGGAGCAAACAGGAUUAGAUACCCUGGUAGUCCAUGCCCUAAACGAUGUCAACUAGUUGUCGGGCCUUAACGGGCUUGGUAACGUAGCUAACGCGUGAAGUUGACCGCCUGGGGAGUACGAUCGCAAGAUUAAAACUCAAAGGAAUUGACGGGGACCCGCACAAGCGGUGGAUUAUGUGGAUUAAUUCGAUGCAACGCGAAAAACCUUACCUACCCUUGACAUGUAUCGAAGCCCGCAGAGAAGCGGGUGUGCCCGAAAGGGAACGAUAACACAGGUGCUGCAUGGCUGCCGUCAGCUCGUGUCGUGAGAUGUUGGGUUAAGUCCCGCAACGAGCGCAACCCUUGUCAUUAAUUGCCAUCAUUUAGUUGGGCACUUUAAUGAGACUGCCGG
rnacentral:rRNA from 1 species